AAUAGAUACCCUGGUAGUCCACGCCGUAAACGAUGAGUGCUAAGUGUUGGGGGGUUUCCGCCCCUCAGUGCUGCAGCUAACGCAUUAAGCACUCCGCCUGGGGAGUACGGUCGCAAGACUGAAACUCAAAGGAAUUGACGGGGGCCCGCACAAGCGGUGGAGCAUGUGGUUUAAUUCGAAGCAACGCGAAGAACCUUACCAGGUCUUGACAUCCCGGUGACCACUAUGGAGAUAUAGUUUCCCCUUCGGGGGGCAACGGUGACAGGUGGUGCAUGGUUGUCGUCAGCUCGUGUCGUGAGAUGUUGGGUUAAGUCCCGCAACGAGCGCAACCCUUGAUCUUAGUUGCCAUCAUUUAGUUGGGCACUCUAAGGUGACUGCCGGUGACGAAACCGGAGGAAGGUGGGGAUGACGUCAAAUCAUCAUGCCCCUUAUGACCUGGGCUACACACGUGCUACAAUGGACGAUACAAACGGUUGCCAACGUCGCGAGAGGGAGCUAAUCCGAUAAAGUCGUUCUCAGUUCGGAUUGUAGGCUGC
rnacentral:rRNA from 1 species